AUUGAACGCUGGCGGCAGGCUUAACACAUGCAAGUCGAGCGGGGGAAGGUAGCUUGCUACUGGACCUAGCGGCGGACGGGUGAGUAAUGCUUAGGAAUCUGCCUAUUAGUGGGGGACAACAUCUCGAAAGGGAUGCUAAUACCGCAUACGUCCUACGGGAGAAAGCAGGGGAUCUUCGGACCUCGCGCUAAUAGAUGAGCCUAAGUCGGAUUAGCUAGUUGGUGGGGUGAAGGCCUACCAAGGCGACGAUCUGUAGCGUGUCUGAGAGGAUGAUCCGCCACACUGGGACUGAGACACGGCCCAGACCCCUACGGGAGGCAGCAGUGGGGAAUAUUGGACAAUGGGGGGAACCCUGAUCCAGCCAUGCCGCGUGUGUGAAGAAGGCCUUAUGGUUGUAAAGCACUUUAAGCGAGGAGGAGGCUACUUUAGUUAAUACCUAGAGAUAGUGGACGUUACUCGCAGAAUAAGCACCGGCUAACUCUGCGCCAGCAGCCGCGGUAA
rnacentral:rRNA from 1 species